rnacentral:rRNA from 1 species
UACAGAGGGUGCAAGCGUUAAUCGGAUUUACUGGGCGUAAAGGGCGCGUAGGUGGUUAGGUAAGUGAGCUGUGAAAUCCCCGGGCUUAACCUGGGAAUUGCAGCUUAUGCUGUCUAACUGGAGUGCAAUAGAGGGUAGUGGAAUUUCCGGUGUAGCGGUGAAAUGCGUAGAUAUCGGGAGGAACACCUGUGGCGAAAGCGGCUCACUGGACCACAACUGACGCUGAGGCGCGAAAGCUAGGGGAGCAAACAGG